rnacentral:rRNA from 1 species
GGUUGAUCCUGCCAGUAGUCAUAUGCUUGUCUCAAAGAUUAAGCCAUGCAUGUCUAAGUAUAAGCCCUUGUACGGCGAAACUGCGAAUGGCUCAUUAAAACAGUUAUCGUUUCUUUGAUAAUCACUUACUACAUGGAUAACUGUAGUAAUUCUAGAGCUAAUACAUGCGUCUAUACCCGACCUCGCGGAAGGGUGGCAUUUAUUAGAUACAAAACCGACCCUGGGUUCGCCCAGGAACCGUUGGUGAUUCAUAAUAACUAAGCGAAUCGCAUAGGCUUGCCUGGCGAUGGAU